rnacentral:misc_RNA from 1 species
UCGCCCUCGUCCAUAGAUUUAUCUGCAAUAUAUCAUAAAAAUAUUUCAAUAAAUUUUCAUCCAACUUCAUCAUAUUGUCCAAAAAUUAACUACAACUUAUUUUCAUUUAACAUUUUAGAACCAUUCUCGCUACAUAUACUUUCAGACGUCUCAAAAAAUUUGGUACAAAGUAACUAUAAUUACUGACUGAAUUAAUCAAUAAAUUACUUCAAGAAUGGCUUACCAUUAUGA